UUUUGUUUAAUUCUUUUCUUUUCGUGCAGUAUUAAUGCCAUAGACAGAUGCAUUCAUGCAAUGAAUCUGGAAGGAGAUAUCAGACUAAGAGUGGUUUCACACAUAAGAGAAAUGACAGGAAUGCACAUGGUGGAGUUGUUGGAGCAUACAUACGGUCGGAUCUGGCUGGUGACAGGAAACCAAAAUUGGAGUUCAAGUUUUAGAUACCAGAAUAUAGUUGAAAUUCCUCAUCCAAAAACUGAGAGAGUUGCCACCCCUGUGACGAGACAGCGACAGUAAAAAGUUAUCACGUAUACCCGAAAUGUCAUAUUAUUUGGACUAGUCGAAGGCAUGUCACUCACGACUGCCCACGCCUUAGAUAAUGCCUGGAGGGGCACCUGCCGCUUUUUCCCACAUCACAAUCUCCAAAUGAGCAAAAUGACAAAUAAAUCAAAAUAAAGAAAAAUACCACCAACAACAAUAUAAAAUCUGCUGAAUGUCCGUAACCUAGAGAGGACCCUCGUGAUCUUAACCAUUUGUAAAUUAAACGUAUUUACUGUAUGUCUUGAUAGUGUAUGCAGUGAUAAACAUAAGUAGAAACAAUGAAAUGUUUAAUCCUUUGGAGAAACGGUAGUAGCAGUAGCAAUUCCUGGAGGCGAUAGAUGCAAACCAUUUGGAGUUAAGGCAGUAGAAAUGCCAAGCUCGUUCGAGUAAAGUUAGUUAAGGUGGUCAGUGCUGUUGCCUAAAGGUGGUAGAGAUGGUCUCUUCUGUUGCCUAGAGGCACUUCAAUUGCAUAGAAGUAGUAGGAAUUUUGUCUUCUAUUAGAGUUAGUAGAGAUGGACACCUCUAUUGCGUAAAGUUAAUAGAAAUAUUCUCCCCUUUGUGCAAAAGAUAUUAGCAAUGCCCAGCUGUACAGAGGAAGGAGGUUAGAAAUGACCGGCACUUUUAAUUUAAGCAGUAGAGACAGUUAAGGCAAGAUUUGCCCACCUCUCUGCCAUUUUUUGACAUGAAAGGGCAUGAGAUCUCGUCCAAAAUAAUCAUUUUUAGUUCUGAUAUUUAUUUUUAUGACAUAGAGGUAUGGAUAACGGCAAUGUAUAUGAUGUUAUUUUUUUCAUAGUGCGUAUCCAUUUCAGCACAAGCUGAUAUUGACUCACUUCCUGCGGAAUUUGCUGUCAUGUCGAACAUAUUUGAUCUACCUUUUCACCGAAAUACACUUUACCAAUCCUCAGUGAUGUACACAACAGCCAGAACGGAAUUGUUACAUUGGUUUUCUAAAAAUGAUAAAGAUAUAUAUAUAGGGAAAAUUGUUUGAACAAGUUAAAACACAUCGUAUUUUACUGAAUCUCUAUCGCGAAAACAAGUUCCAUAUAAGAGUAAUGUCAAGACAAACCUACUGACUAAAAAUUAUUCAAAUGCAAUGAGUUACAUAUAUACCAACUUAACACUUUAUUACUCCCGGAGAGAAUACUCAUUUACACCUACAGAUAUUAUACAUUAAUUUUAUUCUUCACCCCGACUGAAAAUAUUAGUGGUAAUGAUUAUUUUUAACGUACGCAGACCUAAAAAUGAUAAAAAACUUCGCAGUAGUUGUUAGAAGGAUUGGCUACAACUAAUUACUUUAUAAACUGAUAUAUAUAUCUAUAGAUAUCGAUUCUUGUUUUCCUUCUUUAUUAUGUUAAGCAUAAGACUAUAAAAAGACAUGUUGCUUAUUAUAAAUUGAAACUGAAAAUAUAUAACAUGCAUAAAUUGCCUAAGUCUUAUUUUAAAGAGGAAAACUGCUAUGACAAAUAAAUGUUAAUGAAUUGCGUUUUUUUCUCAAAACGAUGCAAAGGAAAGCAUUAAAUGGACGUUUUUUCUCCAAAAUAAUAACUUUUCAACAAGAACCUUGCAAAGCGACGACAUCUUUGAUUUUUUCGUCUUUGUGAAACUUAAAUUUAUUUGCUACUUGAAAUUACAUUAGAAACCAAUCUGCAAUAAUUAACGACACAUUACCAAAAGAAAAAUUUCAGCAAUUGACAUCUUAUCUAAAAAAGCAAUGGAAACGGACAUUUCCAGAGCUUAUGUAGAGUUUUAUCAUGGCAUGGUCAGGCAUGGAAAAGAACAGGUAUAGGUCUUGAUUCCCAGUAUCAGUAGACUCCUUAGAACAUCACAUAGCAGGUAUUUUGUCCGCCUGCCUGCUGCCCGGAAACAAGGCUAGGAAAUACUUUGACGACCUCUUCUAGGAGGCAGUGCUGGUGUUAUACAUAAAACUUGCGUCUGUUAAAGUAAAAGUGUAUCAUUUCCAAAUGUACAAGCAACCUGAAAGACAUUUAUAAAUAAUUAGGUUACAUCAAGUGGUUGGAUGCAAGUGGAGGAAAUUGUUUAUCAAAGAUAAAGAUCUAUCCCAUAAAUUUCAAUUACAUUUCAUAUACUGGUGUGAAAUGAGAGUUACUGAUCUAGUGUCAAACUACUUCACAUACUUUUUAAUGUUUUCGUUACAAAGUUUCCGUAUUCAUUGGAAGAAUACUCUUCACACGGACGAGUAACAUCAACAAAUCUACUAAGUCUAUUUUAUAUAACAAUCAAGUUUACUGUCCGUGAGGAA
rnacentral:lncRNA from 1 species